rnacentral:lncRNA from 1 species
AUGAACAUUUCCAUUUCCUGCCCCACGCUGAAAUCUUUCUUUUCCAAAACGUUUCAAAUUGGAGUUUUUAACACUAAAAAGCGAUUUUUUUUUUUUUUUAGCUUUGGGAAAGAGGUUUUGAACCCAAAUUGUGAUUUUGAGGCCCAAAGAAANCCACAAAUCCCCCAAAUUCACCCCAAAUUCCAUUGGGGAUCCACAAAACCCUCCCAGGAACCGCCAAAAUCCACCGGCCACCCCCAAAAUCCCCAAAUUCGCCCUAAAUUCCACCUGGGACCCCCCAAAAAUCACCCAAAAAAUUCACCUGAGACCCCCCCAAACCACCCUGGGUCUCCCAAAAUCCACCGGGAACCCCAAAAUUCUACCUGGGACCCCCCAAAUUCACGGGAAACCCCAAAAAAUCCACCUGGAACCCUCCCUGAAUCCCCAGGGGGCUCCCAAAUGGACCAGAGACCCCAAAAAUCACUCUGGACCCCCCAAAAUUCACCUGUGGGGUGGGCGGAGCUUCUGCUUCCUCCUGGGCGGGGCUUGGGGGACCCUCCACAUCUGGAUUUGGGGCCGCCUCCUCCACAUCUGGAACCUGGGGCUGGUCCGGGGCCCUUUCGGGUCUUUCCAGGGGUUCCACAUCUGGGGCAGGGGGCAGGAACAGCUGGGUGGCCACAUCUGGAUUCAGGCCAGGGCUCCCCGGCCCGUCCACAUCUGGACUUGGGGUGUCCACCUCCACAUCUGGAAUUUCAGGGACUUCCGGGGCCGUUUGGGGUCUUUUUGAGGCUGCCACAUCUGGAUUUGGGCCCACCUUCCCCACAUCUGGAUCAGCAUCCCCCAGCAAUGUCCUGUGGCCCCUCAGUGACUCCCCCACAUCUGGAUUUGGUCUCUCCAUGUCCACAUCUGGAAUGUCGGGCAGGUUUAGGGCACUUUUGGGUGGGUUUGGGGACCCAACACCUCGUUCUGAGGGUCCUUCCCCCUGCACAUCUGGAUCAGGGGGCAGGAACAGCUGGGUGGCCACAUCCAAGUCCUCCUCCCCCUCCACAUCUGGAUCUGGGGUCUCCACCCUCACAGCGGGAAUCUUGGGGUCAUUUGAGGCCAUUUUGGAUUGUUUUGGACCCAGAACAUCUGGAUUUAGGCUGUCCUCCACACCUGGAUGUGGAGGCAGGAACAGCUGUGUGGCCACAUCUGGAUCCAGAGAGGGCAGCCCCUCUACAUCUGGAACUUUGGGGUCCUUUGGGGCCGUUUUGGGGCCUUCUGGGCUCCCAACAUCUGGAGAAGGCAGGAACAGCUGGGUGGCCACAUCUGGAUCUGACUCCUGUUCUUCCCCCUCAUCUGGAUCUGGGGUUUCCUCCUCCACAUCUGGAAUUUUGGGAGGGUUCUGGGUCAUUUUGGGUCCUUUUGGGCUCGCGACAUCAGGGGAGGGCAGGAACAGCUGGGUGGCCAUAUCCGGAUUUGACUCCUCUUCCUCCUCCACAUCUGGAAUUUCCGGGGGCUUCUGGGUCAUUUUGA